rnacentral:rRNA from 1 species
GAUUAACGCUGGCGGCGUGCAUAACACAUGCAAGUCGAACGAUGAAACUUAGUCGACUUCUUCGGAAAGACACUAAGCGGAUUAGUGGCGAACGGGUGAGUAACGCGUGAGUAACCUGCCUUACACAAGGGGAUAGCCUUUGGAAACGAAGAAUAAUACCCUAUAAAACUAUAAAAGCACAUGCUAUAAUGGUCAAAGUGAUAGCGGUGUAAGAUGGACUUGCGUCUGAUUAGCUAGUUGGUGAGAUAAAAGCUCACCAAGGCAACGAUCAGUAGCCGGCUUGAGAGAGUGUACGGCCACAUUGGGACUGAGACACGGCCCAGACUCCUACGGGAGGCAGCAGUGGGGAAUUUUGCACAAUGGGGGAAAACCUGAUGCAGCGACGCCGCGUGAUUUAGAAGGCCUUCGGGUUGUAAAAAUCUUUUGUAUAGGAAGAAAAUGACAGUACUAUACGAAUAAGGUCCGGCUAAUUACGUG